rnacentral:rRNA from 1 species
GACGAACGCUGGCGGCGUGCCUAAUACAUGCAAGUAGAAUGCUGAAGAGAGGAGCUUGCUCUUCUUGGAUGAGUUGCGAACGGGUGAGUAACGCGUAGGUAACCUGCCUGGUAGCGGGGGAUAACUAUUGGAAACGAUAGCUAAUACCGCAUGAAAUUGCUUAUCGCAUGAUAAUUAAUUGAAAGAUGCAAUUGCAUCACUACCAGAUGGACCUGCGUUGUAUUAGCUAGUUGGUGAGGUAACGGCUCACCAAGGCGACGAUACAUAGCCGACCUGAGAGGGUGAUCGGCCACACUGGGACUGAGACACGGCCCAGACUCCUACGGGAGGCAGCAGUAGGGAAUCUUCGGCAAUGGGGGGAACCCUGACCGAGCAACGCCGCGUGAGUGAAGAAGGUUUUCGGAUCGUAAAGCUCUGUUGUAAGAGAAGAACGGGUGUGAGAGUGGAAAGUUCACACUGUGACGGUAUCUUACCAGAAAGGGACGGCUAACUACGUGCCAGCAGCCGCGGUAAUACGUAGGUCCCGAGCGUUGUCCGGAUUUAUUGGGCGUAAAGCGAGCGCAGGCGGUUAGAUAAGUCUGAAGUUAAAGGCUGUGGCUUAACCAUAGUAUGCUUUGGAAACUGUUUAACUUGAGUGCAGAAGGGGAGAGUGGAAUUCCAUGUGUAGCGGUGAAAUGCGUAGAUAUAUGGAGGAACACCGGUGGCGAAAGCGGCUCUCUGGUCUGUAACUGACGCUGAGGCUCGAAAGCGUGGGGAGCAAACAGG